rnacentral:lncRNA from 1 species
AAAGGAGAGAUCAGACGGCAAAACGGACAUCACUUUUGAACUCAGGACGGUCGAAAACCUUAGGAGGGGCAUAAAAGGAAAAAUGGCACUAUUCACAUGUACGGAACUAUUCACGUGUACGGUACUGUAUACGUUACUGUUCACGACACUGUUCACAUAGACGGAUGAUGACGUGGCAUUGACCGAUGAUGUGGCAUUGACUGAUGAGGUGUCACGAUCCUGUUGGACUAAAAUUCUUAUGUACUGUUGAUGGUGACGUGGCAGCAUAUCAGUGGACGAAAAAUCUCGCGUACGGUGCAUGCAUCACACAGGAUUAUUUUCAACCAAACCGUGUUACUGUUCAUCCGGGUCAAACCGUGUUACUGUUCAUCCGGGUCAAACCGUGUUACUGUUCAUCCGGGUCAAACCGUGUUACUGUUCAUCCGCGUGGUCAAACCGUGGACUGUUGACUGAUGACGUGGCGCAAUCCUGAGCGUCCAAACUGUUUUUAAUCCGAUGGCCAUGAUUUACUCCAUGUAUCUAUAAAAAGGGGGCCUCUCCCCCCUAAUUUGAUAGCUCUGAAUCCAUUUUUGGGAUCCAUUUUCUGUAAUUCCUUCUCCAUCUUGUAUUUUCUUUGUAUUUUAAUAAAUUCCCAUUUUGCCCCA